rnacentral:lncRNA from 1 species
AUAUUUUUGUUAUAAUUUUUUUUUUCUUUAGAAUAAGAGAUAUAUAUACGAUGGCUGAAUAUAGAUGACGUGGUUUGUUAUAUAGUAGACUUUUCUCUAAAUUUUAGCAAUCUUAUGAACAGAUGUUUAAAACCUCAUUUAGUAACGUGUUUUUUUUAUAUAUUUUAAAUAAUUUUUUGUAUUAAAUAGUACUGUAGGAUUGAACGGUAGAUUCUCUGUGUUUGAGCUAUUGUAAAUUGUAUGUAAAAGCUAAUUUUA